rnacentral:tRNA from 1 species
CCCUGCUGCUGGGCGAGGUCGGGGACUUCUAUGAGCGUUACUGGUGGUGGGACGUGGUGCUGCACGGCGGCUCGGCCGUUGGAUUCGGCCUGGUCGGGUC